rnacentral:rRNA from 1 species
AUUUGACGUUAGCGACAGAAGAAGCACCGGCUAACUCCGUGCCAGCAGCCGCGGUAAUACGGAGGGUGCGAGCGUUAAUCGGAAUUACUGGGCGUAAAGCGCAUGCAGGUGGUUUGUUAAGUCAGAUGUGAAAGCCCGGGGCUCAACCUCGGAAUUGCAUUUGAAACUGGCAGACUAGAGUACUGUAGAGGGGGGUAGAAUUUCAGGUGUAGCGGUGAAAUGCGUAGAGAUCUGAAGGAAUACCGGUGGCGAAGGCGGCCCCCUGGACAGAUACUGACACUCAGAUGCGAAAGCGUGGGGAGCAAACAGGAUUAGAUACCCUGGUAGUCCACGCCGUAAACGAUGUCUACUUGGAGGUUGUGGCCUUGAGCCGUGGCUUUCGGAGCUAACGCGUUAAGUAGACCGCCUGGGGAGUACGGUCGCAAGAUUAAAACUCAAAUGAAUUGACGGGGGCCCGCACAAGCGGUGGAGCAUGUGGUUUAAUUCGAUGCAACGCGAAGAACCUUACC